UACGUAGGGGGCAAGCGUUGUCCGGAAUCAUUGGGCGUAAAGCGCGUGUAGGCGGCUACGAAAGUCCGCUGUGAAAGUCGGGGGCUCAACCCUCGAAUGCCGGUGGAUACUGUCAGACUAGAGUACGGAAGAGGCGAGUGGAAUUCCUGGUGUAGCGGUGAAAUGCGCAGAUAUCAGGAGGAACACCCAUUGCGAAGGCAGCUCGCUGGGACGUUACUGACGCUGGAGACGCGAAAGCGUGGGGAGCAAACAGG
rnacentral:rRNA from 1 species